rfam:Cricetulus griseus cell line CHO-K1, whole genome shotgun sequence.
GGAGGGUAUGGAGGGACAUCUGUCACCCUUUGAUACCAGGGUUGAUUUGCCCGAUCUGGCUGGCUGGACGGAUGUCUCCUCCCUCCUUCCCUCAGGGCUCCACUGUCCACCGUUGAAGAGGACCUUCCCCAAAUUGAGGGGGAUGGUCUUCAGCCAAGAAUAUAGAUAGAGCAGUAGUGCUUCCUUCUGGAACCCCAAAAAAAGCUCUCAAA